AAUUAUCCAUAAUAUAAUAAAGAUCAUGCAGUAACAAACAAUUUUGAUAAAAGCAUCCAAUGCAUGGCCACGACAGAACCUGAACAAACGAUAACUAGUUAGAGAGCCUUGUUGUCCACCACCUUCAGGCCCAGAGCCUCUACAAAUGCUACCGCCAGCACUACAGGAAUUUAUGACCUAUGUGGUCGAAGAUGGCAUGGGCAUCUAGAUUCCAAUCAAAAGUCGUGAUAAAACUCAGGCCGUUAAUAAAAAACAUGAUCAUGCAGUUUCGAUUUUACAUAUAUUAGACAUAAAGU
rnacentral:lncRNA from 1 species